rnacentral:rRNA from 1 species
GAUGAACGCUGGCGGCGUGCCUAAUACAUGCAAGUCGAGCGAAUGGAUUAAGAGCUUGCUCUUAUGAAGUUAGCGGCGGACGGGUGAGUAACACGUGGGUAACCUGCCCAUAAGACUGGGAUAACUCCGGGAAACCGGGGCUAAUACCGGAUAACAUUUUGAACCGCAUGGUUCGAAAUUGAAAGGCGGCUUCGGCUGUCACUUAUGGAUGGACCCGCGUCGCAUUAGCUAGUUGGUGAGGUAACGGCUCACCAAGGCAACGAUGCGUAGCCGACCUGGGAGGGUGAUCGGCCACACUGGGACUGAGACACGGCCCAGACUCCUACGGGAGGCAGCAGUAGGGAAUCUUCCGCAAUGGACGAAAGUCUAACGGAGCAACGCCGCGUGAGUGAUGAAGGCUUUCGGGUCGUAAAACUCUGUUGUUAGGGAGGAACAAGUGCUAGUUGAAUAAGCUGGCACCUUGACGGUACCUAACCAGAAAGCCACGGCUAACUACGUGCCAGCCGCCGCGGUAA